UGAGGAAUAUUGGUCAAUGGACGAGAGUCUGAACCAGCCAAGUAGCGUGCAGGGUGACGGCCCUAUGGGUUGUAAACUGCUUUUAUAUGGGGAUAAAGUGGGGAACGUGUUCCCUUUUGCAGGUACCAUAUGAAUAAGGACCGGCUAAUUCCGUGCCAGCAGCCGCGGUAAUACGGAAGGUUCGGGCGUUAUCCGGAUUUAUUGGGUUUAAAGGGAGCGUAGGCCGUUUGGUAAGCGUGUUGUGAAAUGUAGGAGCUCAACUUCUAGAUUGCAGCGCGAACUGUCAGACUUGAGUGCGCACAACGUAGGCGGAAUUCAUGGUGUAGCGGUGAAAUGCUUAGAUAUCAUGAAGAACUCCGAUUGCGAAGGCAGCUUACGGGAGCGCAACUGACGCUGAAGCUCGAAGGUGCGGGUAUCGAACAGG
rnacentral:rRNA from 1 species